rnacentral:rRNA from 1 species
AGCGAACGCUGGCGGCAGGCCUAACACAUGCAAGCCGCACGAACUCUCAGCAGUUAGUGGCGGACGGGCGAGUAACACGUGGGAACGUGCCCUCAGGUUCGGACUAACUCAGGGAUACUCGUCAUCAUACCGAACGUGCCCUUCGGGGGAAAGAUUUAUCGCCUUUAGAGAGGCCCGCGUCUGAUUAGCUAGUUGGUGUGGUAACGGCUAAACAAGGCGACGAUCAGUAGUGGGUCUCAGAGGAUGACCAGCCACACUGGGACUGGGACACGGCACAGACUCCUACGGGAGGCAGCAGUGGGGAAUCUUGCGCAAUGGGCGAAAGCCUGACGCAGCCAUGCCGCGUGAAUGAUGAAGGUCUUAGGAUUGUAAAAUUCUUUCACCGGGGACGAUAAUGACGGUACCCGGAGAAGAAGCCCCGGCUAACUUCGUGCCAGCCGCCGCGGUAACAC